GAUGAACGCUGGCGGCGUGCCUAAUACAUGCAAGUAGAACGCUGAAGGAGGAGCUUGCUCUUCUGGAUGAGUUGCGAACGGGUGAGUAACGCGUAGGUAACCUGCCUGGUAGCGGGGGAUAACUAUUGGAAACGAUAGCUAAUACCGCAUGACAACAGUUAUUGCAUGAUAACUGUUUAAAAGGGGCAACUGCUCCACUACCAGAUGGCCCUGCGUUGUUUUAGCUAGUUGGUGAGGUAACGGCUCACCAAGGCGACGAUACAUAGCCGACCUGAGAGGGGGGACGGCCAAACUGGGACUGAGACACGGCCCAGACUCCUACGGGAAGGAGCAGUAGGGAAACUUCGGCAAUGGGCGGAAGGCUGACCGAGCAAAGCCGCGUGAGUGAAGAAGGUUUUCGGGUCGUAAAGCUCUGUUGCAAGAGAAGAACGAGUGUGAGAGUGGAAAGUUCACACUGUGACGGUAUCUUACCAGAAAGCGACGGCUAACUACGUG
rnacentral:rRNA from 1 species